GUAGGUGAACCUGCGGAAGGAUCAUUAAAUGAGGGCGUGUGGGCUAAUAUCCCCGCGAACCCUAAAUCCUUUGUUUACUGGCCCCAUUGUGGUUUUUACUUGGGCGCGGUUUGACUGGUGCCCAAAAGGCUGUAGUGUCACACCCUCCCAAAAAAUAAAAAACCACAAGACAAAAAAAUCUUAAUAAACACAAUUGAUGUCUGAAGUAAAUUAUUUAAACAAGCAAAACUUUCAACAACGGAUCUCUUGG
rnacentral:misc_RNA from 1 species